AUGAACGCUGGCGGCGUGCCUAAUACAUGCAAGUCGAGCGAACAGACGAGGAGCUUGCUCCUCUGACGUUAGCGGCGGACGGGUGAGUAACACGUGGAUAACCUACCUAUAAGACUGGGAUAACUUCGGGAAACCGGAGCUAAUACCGGAUAAUAUAUUGAACCGCAUGGUUCAAUAGUGAAAGACGGUUUUGCUGUCACUUAUAGAUGGAUCCGCGCCGCAUUAGCUAGUUGGUAAGGUAACGGCUUACCAAGGCGACGAUGCGUAGCCGACCUGAGAGGGUGAUCGGCCACACUGGAACUGAGACACGGUCCAGACUCCUACGGGAGGCAGCAGUAGGGAAUCUUCCGCAAUGGGCGAAAGCCUGACGGAGCAACGCCGCGUGAGUGAUGAAGGUCUUCGGAUCGUAAAACUCUGUUAUUAGGGAAGAACAAAUGUGUAAGUAACUAUGCACGUCUGGACAGUACUUAAUCAGAAAGCCACGGCUAACUACGU
rnacentral:rRNA from 1 species